AGUGAACGCUGGCGGCAGGCCUAACACAUGCAAGUCGAGCGGAUGAAGGGAGCUUGCUCCUGGAUUCAGCGGCGGACGGGUGAGUAAGGCCUAGGAAUCUGCCUGGUAUUGGGGGAUAAGGUCCGGACACGGGCGCUAAUACCGCAUACGUCCAGAGGGAGAAAGUGGGGGAUCUUCGGACCUCACGCUAUCAGAUGAGCCUAGGUCGGAUUAGCUAGUUGGUGGGGUAAAGGCCUACCAAGGCGACGAUCCGUAACUGGUCUGAGAGGAUGAUCAGUCACACUGGAACUGAGACACGGUCCAGACUCCUACGGGAGGCAGCAGUGGGGAAUAUUGGACAAUGGGCGAAAGCCUGAUCCAGCCAUGCCGCGUGUGUGAAGAAGGUCUUCGGAUUGUAAAGCACUUUAAGUUGGGAGGAAGAGCAGUAAGUUAAUACCUUGCUGUUUUGACGGUACCAACAGAAUAAGCACCGGCUAACUUCGUG
rnacentral:rRNA from 1 species